UGUCACCUGCAACCAUUUUUUUCUAAAAAACUAAACCCUCAUUCUCUCAACUCUCCCAAAAAAUUCGGCCUUGGAGCCGCCGUGACCAAAGGCCAACGGCGAAGAAAAUGGGGGCGUAUCAGAGAGUCAGGCUUCCAAUCCGAGGGACCGAAGGAGCAUUAAACCCACUUCAAGACCCGAUUCCGACGACGGCGAGAAGACAUCCGUCGACGGAGCCACCGGUGAUCUAGGUGCCAGACGAGCGUGGUGAAGUGCGGCGGCGGCGUGCGGGGAGUUGGAGCGGCGCCCAAGGGCAGGGGCGUGCAUGCGGGCGCUGGAGAGGGUUAGGGUUUGCUCCCUUUGCUGCUGAAAGUUUUUGUUGUGGGCUAGGGUUGUAUUGGGCUGGCAUAAUUGGGUUUUGUGCUUAAAUUUGCUGAAAAUGGACUGUUUUUGUUUUUAUUAUUUGGGCUUAUUUUGCUAGUAUGGGUCCAGGCAAAAAUGGGUUCUUACAUUUACGUUUUGAGAGUUUUUUGUUUUCGAGUUUUUUGGGUUUAGUUUUAUCUCCAUCUUUUGUACUCUUCGUUCUUUUGCCAUUAUAGUAAAAUUAUCUUUGCCCGUAA